GGGCCCAUAGCUCAACUGGCAGAGCCCCCGGCUCAUAACCGGAUGGUUCCAGGUUCAAGCCCUGGUGGGCCCACCA
rnacentral:tRNA from 1 species